GCUCCCAUGGCGUAGUGGUCACUGCACUCGCCUUGCACGCGGGAGACCCGGGUUCGAAUCCCGGCGGGGUCA
rnacentral:tRNA from 1 species